rnacentral:sRNA from 1 species
AUUUUCCACUACCAAACUAUACACAAUGCUCAGGGGAUGAUUUUUUUUUAUAUUUUUUGGUAAAAGUACAAUUUCUAUGUAUUCUUGUUUAGAUUGUGUAGUAGAAAACGUACAAGUCUGUGUUCAUCGAGAAAAUUACGCACUGCAGGAAUUCUGACAAGCACAAUUAACAUUUGUUACGUGAUUUCCAUCAGGCUCUGGAGUUCCUUCAUCACUGUGUAUUUUAAGCUUGGUAUUUUGAUGUUGUAAUUACUCUGGAUUGGGAUGUUAGAGCAGAAAAAACAUAUUACGAUAUCUACACACAGAGCUUAAUGGACAUGGAUUUCAUAAUUAAAAAUUCACCCCUCACUGGUCAAACUUGUAUCGAUCGACUCUUGGUCUUGCCACUUCCUGGUCUGAACACUAAUCAAAACUCAGUCUGACCACAUGGGAUCAAAGCAUAGGGCCAUACAUUAACAGGAUAUGUCACACUGUCCAAAAGCCUUUUAUUCAUAUAUAAAUAAGCUGCACCUAUUGUGGAAUCAAAACCAUUUGUGGUGGCUAAUCCAUUUCCAUGGAUUUCAUUGCCCCCUCCCUCUCAUCAAC